AGCCCCACCCAUCAGCCCCGGUUACAGCCCAAGCGAGCCCGCGCUCCUCAGGACCUCUGUCUCCUCCAAAACGGGGCGGGACCUGUCCUCCAAAGCCCCAAGUGACCUAUUGGACACUCCUCGGGUCACGGUUCACUUUAGCUACAACCAACAGGGACGCUUCGUUGCCUGCUUCUUCGCCUGCAGUGACCAUAAUUAUACCUGUUGAACACUGCUUAAGUCACAAGCUAACUCAGCCACUGCCCGGCUGGACUCCUGCUCCCCCAAAUCCGGGAUCCAGUCUGAUCUCAGCAGUCUGAUGUAACACCCUGGAGCCAGCACAGUUUAUAUUAAUAAUCUACUGCGACCAGCACCUGCCUGGACGCUUGUUUCCCAAACCUAACCUCACCCCAACAACCCAGGGUAUAUGAUUCUCACAACCUGAAUCACAAUUCAUCUCAGCCACAACCGACCUCGAUGCUCAUGUCCUAAAACCCAGUGCCCAGCGUAUCCAAAAAUCAAACACACCAUUGUGGAGAGCCUCUUAUUCAUUCCAGAUAAAUACGUGUUGUACCCCUACUAUGUGCCAUGCACUGUGCCAGGCAGUGAGGAUAAAGUGAUGAACAGUACAGCAAGAUCCCUGCCCUGGCAGAGCUGCUACUCCAGUUGGGGACACAAUACAAUGCAAUACACAAAGUGGGAAGACAAUUUCAGACACUGCUUCUGGUGGAUCCAGAUGUUCCUUGGCUCAUGGCCACAUCCCUUCAGUACCUGUCUCCAUCUUCAUAAGAGCUUCGUGUGUGUGUGUGUGUGUGUGUGUGUGUGUGUGUGUGUGUGUGUGUGCGUGCGUGUGAAAUCUUCCCUCAUGUGUCACCUGUGAAAUCAGGACAGCAGCGACAGUGAUUCCCUCCCAGGGCUGGUGUGAGGUUUCAAUGGGAUAAUGCAAGUCGGGCAGUUGGCAGGCAGGCAGCCCUCGAUGAAUGGAGCGGCUGUUAUGAAUCUAUUUAUUAAGUUGUUUCUACCCAGGACUGGCAAGUGUGGGAGUAACUGAUUCCAGUGACGUCAUCUCUCCAGUUGGCAUGUUUUCCGCAGGAUUGAAUGUGCCAAAUGGGCUUUGUUGAGCCAACUCCUCUGGCAGCUAAGAGCCUCCAUGCCAACCUGCCUGCUGUGUCGCUUGCCCCCAAUGAACAUGAAGGCACACCCCCCCAGCAGGCCCUUGCUGCCAUCCCAGGAAACAGCCAAGCAGGUUGCAGCCAAAUAUUUGCACAUUUUUGCAGUGACUGGAUGAAAACAGUACUUUGGUCAUUUAAGCAGCACAGAGUGGACAAGAGGAGGAAAUACCACCCCAUCCUUGUGUCCACAGGGGCAGCAGGCUUGGGAGUCUCACGUGGAAAAAAUGUCCCAAGGAAACCUGACCAUGUCACCAUCCCAAGACAGUGUCACGGCACAGUGCCAUUGUCAUUAAACUGGAGAAAGAUACAAAUGAAGAAAGCCGGCCUUUUUCAUUCCAUUCGGUUCCACUGUCACCACUGGAGCCUCUCUCUUAGACCAGGUUUUGCCGGGCAAUGUGGGGUCACAGGUGGCACUUGCUCAAGGAGCUCGCAGCAAGGAAUCACGUACUGCCUCCCAGCACCCAAAAACGAGGACACGAGGGAGCAGAUCUGAGCACAGACUCUGGAGUCUGACAGACAGCCUUGGGAUCAAACUCUGGCUCUCCUGCUCCUAGCUGUGUGACCUUGGGCAAAUGAUAGAACCUCUCUGAGCCUUAGCACCUCAUUGGUAAAAUGGGGACCCUUAGAACACCUCCUUCAAAGCAUCCAGGAGGAUAUUCAAGGAGACAGAACGUUUGGGAUUCUACCUGGGACAAGGAUUGGCACGAAACCUAAGUCACAGGAAGAUGCUGAAGAUGAGGACGCUGACGAUGACAGAAAUGUCCCCCCUAGCGCCCAGUAAUUCUGGGUGAAAGCAGGGAAUUCCGUAGAGUAGGAGGCACCCAGGCUGACCUGGCAGGGGACACGAGAUCUCCUCCUAACUCUGUCAUCGACUGGUUUCAAGACCCUAGUUCUUGGUUUGGGCCUCAGUUUCCCCAUCUGUUAAGUAAAUGGGUCUGGCAGGAUGAAUUCUGAAGAUGUGUGUAACCUUCUGACUCCAGUGGUGGUCUUGGGGGUCAUGGUCCCUUCCCCUGCCACCCUCGACAGUUGGCCUUUCUCCACCACCCCGGCUAGUAGUAACCUGAGCACUUCUCGAUCGGACGAGGGUGGAGUAGAAGGGAGCCCAAGGCGACAGGGCCUAGUGGGGACGCUUUCCUCGGGGCAGAAAGGCUCUUGGAAGCCAGUAUAUGAUCCUGGGAACAUCCCAGCUGCUUGCUCAACAGGGACUGCUCUUCACGCUAAGGAACCGGUUGGUCCUGGUUCAUUGUCCUGGCUCUGUGACAAGCCUGUCCCGGAGAGGCACGGUCCCCAAGCCACUCCCCUGCACCCCCACUAUGAGGGCACUUAGGGUAGUACCCCACUGACCAUAGUUGCAUUCAUUCAUUCACUAAAUAUUUAUUAAGCACCUACUGUGUACCAAAGGGUACAGAAGAGGCUGAGACACAUAGCAGGAGAUGAGACAGCAAAGUCCCUGUUCUCAUGAAGUUCACGGACUACUGGGGGGAGGUGUUAAUAUUUAAAAAUUAUUUAGUUAAUGCUGCAAUGAAUGCUAUGGAAGAAAAAUACAGCGUGUUCUGGGACCAGGUGACUUGAUCUAGUCAGAGGGGAUCGGGGAGGGCUUCUCAGAGGAAGGGGCGUUUACACCGGGACCUGAAGUCUGAGUAGAGUUGGCAGAGGGGAAGGGAACAGCACGGCAGAACUGGUGGUGGCGAGAGUUAAAGGAGAGGCCAGUGUGGCUGGGGAGGUUGGCGUGGGCCAGGCUGGGCCAGGGCCAGUGGGUCGUUCAUGGUGUGGGCUUCGUGCUGAGGGAAAUGGGUAGCCAUGGAAGGUUCAAGGGUGAGCAGAGGAUGGGUUGGUCAGAUGGGUCAGCCCAGAAGAAGGGAGCCAGCGUGGACAUUGGGAUGGGGACCCUGAUUCCCUAUGAAGGCCAUGAGAGUCCUCUGCUCAAACAUGCUGAGCCUCAGUUUCCCCAUCUGAAAAGUGGGGUUACAGUUAUUCAUACCCCCUAGAGACACUUGCAAGGAUGAAGGGAGGUCACACGGUCACACGGGCACAGGACAAUCAGUGUUUGACACCUGCUGAGCAGGUGUUGGCCGAGUCUCCUGUUCUCUGUGACAUCACUUUCCAGCUCCACGCUCUGAGGCCACCAGCUGCUUUCACUAGUCACACUGGCUCUGCCACUUCCCUCCUCCGGGCGCGCCCUCCCCCUCUCCAGGCCUCGGUUCUCCCUCUAUAAAGUGAAGGAUUUAUAGAGAGGUAAGGCGUCCAACAGGAGGUGCCGGCCACGUACCCAGAGAAGGCCACCAAGGGCAGGCUUCCCCGCACAGGUCUCUUUCAGG